AGAACGAACGCUGGCGGCAUGCCUAACACAUGCAAGUCGAACGAGACCUUCGGGUCUAGUGGCGCACGGGUGCGUAACGCGUGGGGAAUCUGCCCUUCGGUUCGGAAUAACUCAGGGAAACUUGAGCUAAUACCGGAUAAUGACUUCGGUCCAAAGAUUCAUCGCCGAGGGAUGAGCCCGCGUAGGAUUAGCUUGUUGGUGAGGUAAAGGCUCACCAAGGCGACGAUCCUAGCUGUCUGAGAGAUGAUCAGCCACACUAGGGACUACGAGACACCGGACCCCAGACCGCCUACGGGAGGCAGCGAGUGGGGAAUAGUUGGAGAAGUGGGACCGAAAGCC
rnacentral:rRNA from 1 species